rnacentral:rRNA from 1 species
GACGAACGCUGGCGGCGUGCUUAACACAUGCAAGUCGAACGGAAAGGCCCUGCUUUUGUGGGGUGCUCGAGUGGCGAACGGGUGAGUAACACGUGAGUAACCUGCCCUUGACUUUGGGAUAACUUCAGGAAACUGGGGCUAAUACCGGAUAGGAGCUCCUGCUGCAUGGUGGGGGUUGGAAAGUUUCGGCGGUUGGGGAUGGACUCGCGGCUUAUCAGCUUGUUGGUGGGGUAGUGGCUUACCAAGGCUUUGACGGGUAGCCGGCCUGAGAGGGUGACCGGCCACAUUGCGCCUGCGAGACGGCCCAGACGCCUACGGUCGGCAGCAGUCGGGAAUAUUGCACAAUGGGCGGACGCCUGAUGCAGCAACGCCGCGUGCGGGAUGACGUCCUUCGGGUUGUAAACCGCUUUCGCCUGUGCCGAAGCGUGAGUGACGGUAAUGGGUAAAGAAGCACCGGCUAACUACGUG